GUCCCUGUAGCGCAAUGUAUUACGCGUUGAAGUUCUAAUCCAGAGGUCAUGGGUUCGAAAUCCAUCUGAGAUU